CACGCCGUAAACGUUGGGCGCUAGGUGUGGGACUCAUUCCACGAGUUCCGUGCCGCAGCUAACGCAUUAAGCGCCCCGCCUGGGGAGUACGGCCGCAAGGCUAAAACUCAAAGGAAUUGACGGGGGCCCGCACAAGCGGCGGAGCAUGUGGAUUAAUUCGAUGCAACGCGAAGAACCUUACCAAGGCUUGACAUAUACCGGAAAUAUCUAGAAAUAGGUGCCCCGCAAGGUCGGUAUACAGGUGG
rnacentral:rRNA from 1 species